UUCCAGACUCCUACGGGAGGCAGCAGUGGGGGAUAUUGGACAAUGGGGGGAACCCUGAUCCAGCGACGCCGCGUGAGUGAAGAAGUAUUUCGGUAUGUAAAGCUCUGUCAGCAGGGAAGAAAGAAAUGACGGUACCUGACCAAGAAGCCCCGGCUAACUACGUGCCAGAAGCCGCGGUAAUACGUAGGGGGCAAGCGUUAUCCGGAUUUACUGGGUGUAAAGGGAGCGUAGACGGCUGUGCAAGUCUGAAGUGAAAGCCCGUGGCUCAACCGCGGAACUGCUUUGGAAACUGUAUAGCUUGAGUACUGGAGAGGCAGGCGGAAUUCCUAGUGUAGCGGUGAAAUGCGUAGAUAUUAGGAGGAACACCAGUGGCGAAGGCGGCCUGCUGGACAGAAACUGACGUUGAGGCUCGAAAGCGUGGGGAGCAAACAGGAUUAGAUACCCCCGUACUG
rnacentral:rRNA from 1 species